rnacentral:rRNA from 1 species
UGGGGAAUAUUGCACAAUGGGGGAAACCCUGAUGCAGCGACGCCGCGUGAGCGAAGAAGGCCUUCGGGUCGUAAAGCUCUUUUAUGAGGGAAGAUAAUGACGGUACCUCAAGAAAAAGCCCCGGCUAACUACGUGCCAGCAGCCGCGGUAAUACGUAGGGGGCUAGCGUUGUCCGGAAUCACUGGGCGUAAAGGGUUCGCAGGCGGAAUAACAAGUCAGAUGUGAAAGGCAUGGGCUCAACCCAUGUAAGCAUUUGAAACUGUAAUUCUUGAGAAGGGGAGAGGUAAGUGGAAUUCCUAGUGUAGCGGUGAAAUGCGUAGAUAUUAGGAGGAAUACCUGUGGCGAAGGCGACUUACUGGAGACAAAUCUGACGCUGAGGAACGAAAGCGUGGGUAGCAAACAGG